CUGUGCCGGCCGACACUGC
rnacentral:misc_RNA from 1 species